UGCGUAGGUGGCCUGUUAAGUCAGGGGUGAAAGACGGUAGCUUAACUAUCGCAGUGCCCUUGAUACUGAUGGGCUUGAAUGAACUAGAGGUAGGCGGAAUGUGACAAGUAGCGGUGAAAUGCAUAGAUAUGUCACAGAACACCAAUUGCGAAGGCAGCUUACUAUGGUUUUAUUGACACUGAGGCACGAAAGCGUGGGGAUCAAACAGGAUUAGAUACCCUGGUAGUCCACGCCCUAAACGAUGAAUACUCGAUGUUGGCGAUAUACGGUCAGCGUCUAAGCGAAAGCGUUAAGUAUUCCACCUGGGGAGUACGCCCGCAAGGGUGAA
rnacentral:rRNA from 1 species